rnacentral:rRNA from 1 species
UAGGGAAUCUUCUGCAAUGGACGAAAGUCUGACCGAGCAACGCCGCGUGAGUGAAGAAGGUUUUCGGAUCGUAAAACUCUGUUGUUAGAGAAGAACAAGGACGUUAGUAACUGAACGUCCCCUGACGGUAUCUAACCAGAAAGCCACGGCUAACUACGUGCCAGCAGCCGCGGUAAUACGUAGGUGGCAAGCGUUGUCCGGAUUUAUUGGGCGUAAAGCGAGCGCAGGCGGUUUCUUAAGUCUGAUGUGAAAGCCCCCGGCUCAACCGGGGAGGGUCAUUGGAAACUGGGAGACUUGAGUGCCGAAGAGGAGAGUGGAAUUCCAUGUGUAGCGGUGAAAUGCGUAGAUAUAUGGAGGAACACCAGUGGCGAAGGCGGCUCUCUGGUCUGUAACUGACGCUGAGGCGCGAAAGCGUGGGGAGCAAACAGG